AUCGGCAUACAAUACACACGUCUGAAAGUUAGUCUUAGUUUUAUGUACACCGUUUCGAUAUCCUGUAUUUCGUCCUGUUUCCAUAAAUUAUUGGCAGUGCUUCCAGCCUAAUAAUGGCUCAUUAGAGCCGCAAUUUUUUUCUGAAUUUACAGGAUACUAUUAUGUCUACUACAACUGGUACAGUUAAGUGGUUCAACGAAUCUAAAGGCUUUGGUUUUAUCGAGCAAGAAAACGGCCCUGACGUUUUCGCUCAUUUCCGUGCUAUUCAAGGUACUGGCUUCAAAACUCUUGCUGAAGGCCAAAAAGUUGAGUUCACUGUAACUCAAGGUCAAAAAGGCCCACAAGCUGAGAACAUCGUUCCUUUAUAAUUUAAAGGUAACGGCUUAAUUUCUUCGGAGACUAAGCAGUUCAAGUUUGAAAAAGGCUAAACCGAAAGGUUUGGCCUUUUUU
rnacentral:sRNA from 1 species